ACGAUGGUGCUCUCCGAGAUGCACAGAAAGCCAAAUACCCAUGUACACCCCAGAAGAGGCAAGAGCAUGAUGGAUGCCUUGGUGGAUUUCCUGGAGUUUCAUGAAAGUGACCAUUUCAUGAAUUAUGUCCAAAGUUCGUUUGAAUUGCAUGUGACGUGAAUUCCGACCGGAGGUCUUGUGAUGGUCUUGAGAGGUCUCAACUACAACUCUGAUGGUUUGUGUACGGACUACAAUUUAAUUCAAGCAUGUCUGUCUACUUACAUGCCGUGCAUGCCCAGCGACUCCCACAGUACUGCCGUGGUGAUGAUGGUCAAAAUCAGAGGAAAGCCUAAAGUGUUUAAACAGGGAUGUACAUCUUGAGCCGCUCAGCAUGGACAAAGACUACGAUGACCUGGAAGUAGAUCUGCACUCCCUCGAUCAGCAUCCAGCAG